GGAGGGUCUGGGCUGUAGUUACUGUGAUUAUAGCUCUAGGAGGGUCUGGGCUGUAGUUGCUGUGAUUAGAGCUCUAGGAGGGUCUGUGCUGUAGUUGCUGUGAUUAGAGCUCUAGGAGGGUCUGGGCUGUAGUUGCAGUGAUUAGAGCUCUAGGAGGGUCUGGGCUGUAGUUGCUGUGAUUAGAGCUCUAGGAGGGUCUGGGCUGUAGUUGCUGUGAUUAGAGCUCUAGGAGGGUCUGGGCUGUAGUUGCUGUGAUAGAGCUCUAGGAGGGUGUGGGUUGUAGUUGCUGUGAUUAGAGCUCUAGGAGGGUCUGGGCUGUAGUUGCUGUGAUAGAGUUCUAGGAGGGUCUGUGCUGUGGUUGCUGUGAUUAGAGCUCUAGGAGGGUCUGGGCUG